UGAAGCCAUUGACAGUGCCUUCCGCGUAAAGCGACACAAUGUCUCCAAUAUGAAGAAAACUAGAUCUGUUGUCUGACAUUUUCGCUUAAUUCUGUCCAAAAGUUGGCUUUCCAGGACAAUGACCCAACACACCUCCAGGCUGUGUAAGGGCUAUAUGACCAAGGAGAGUGAUGGAGUGCUGCAUCAGAUGACCUGGCCUCCACAAUCACCCGAGCUCAACCCAAUUGAGAUGGGUUGGGUUGAGUUGGACCGCAGUGAUGGAAAAGCAGCCAACAAGCACUCAGCAUAUGUGGCAACUCCUUCAAAACGGUUGGAAAAGCAUUCCUCAUGAAGCUGGUGGAGAGAAUGCCAAACAAAUAUUUUCCUGUCCUCGCGGAAGAGUUGAGCUCUUCUCCAACACCUUCUAUCCAUGAUGAGCCCGUCAUGUACUGAAGUCAAGCCACUGAAGACAUCAACCCGUCCUGUCAUGUCCUGAAGCCAAGCCUCUGAACACAUCAAGUCUCGCAGCACUCGGACUGGUCAGACACCAAACGAUAUCCUGUACCUGGCAGCAGCUUCCAUGGUCAACUUGGACAGCCUGAUCCCCCAGCAUCUGUCCAUACAGUACCGCCUGCUGGCUUGUGAAAA